CCCUUAGAUGUCCUGGGCCGCACGCGUGCUACACUGACACUUAAACCGAGUUUUUCCAAUGCCGAAAGGCCAUUGGUAAUCAGCAAUAAGUGUCGUGAUGGGGAUAGAUCUUUGGAAUUAUUGAUCUUGAACGAGGAAUGCCUAGUAAUCGUAGGUCAUCAGCCUGCGAUGAUUACGUCCCUGCCCUUUGUACACACCGCCCGUCGCUGCCCGGAACUGAGCCAUUUCGAGAAAAAUGGGGACAGACUGCUUGUGGGUGCGCAAGCACUUCUUGCAGAUUGAAACCAUCUUGAUCGGUAUGGCUUGAACCGGGCAAAAGUCGUAACA
rnacentral:rRNA from 1 species